rnacentral:rRNA from 1 species
UACGUAGGGUGCGAGCGUUGUCCGGAAUUACUGGGCGUAAAGAGCUCGUAGGUGGCUUGUCGCGUUGUCCGUGAAAACUCACAGCUCAACUGUGGGCGUGCGGGCGAUACGGGCAGACUGGAGUACUGCAGGGGAGACUGGAAUUCCUGGUGUAGCGGUGGAAUGCGCAGAUAUCAGGAGGAACACCGGUGGCGAAGGCGGGUCUCUGGGCAGUAACUGACGCUGAGGAGCGAAAGCGUGGGGAGCGAACAGG